rnacentral:rRNA from 1 species
CCUACGGGAGGCAGCAGUAGGGAAUAUUGGUCAAUGGGCGAAAGCCUGAACCAGCAACGCCGCGUGGAUGACGAAGCAUCUUGGUGUGUAAAAUCCUGUCAGUGGGGACGAAACGUAGAGGUAGGAAAUGGCCUCCGCCUGACUGUACCUGCAGAGGAAGUUCCGGCCAACUCCGUGCCAGCAGCCGCGGUAAU